AGAAAAAGCUUGGCUGCUUCGUUUCUAAGUCUCAUCAAAUGGCAAAGGCUCCUCCAACUUUUGUGCUUCUCCUAUUCAUAGUUGCUUGUGGUAAAUCUCUUUCCAUCCCAUUUUUAAAAAGUAUAAAAUAGAAAAAUAUGACUUAGGGUUUAUUCUAAUCGUGAAUGAUGUUCAGCUGUUACAAUGGUGUACAUGGUGGAAGCUCAGAAGAUAUGUACUGAAAGUCUAGGGUUAUGUUCUGACCAGACGGAAUGCCAACAACUGUGUACAAAAAGCCAUGCUGGUGGUCAGGGAAACUGCAUGUUCGCGGGCGGUGUCAAAUUCUGCCAGUGUUCAUAUUUUUGUUAAGAGGUUUAUAAGCCAUUCAAUAUCAGAGAGGACUGAGGGGAGAAUAUUGAGAUUGAUUUUAGGCUUCUUUAAAUGUUUAGUGUGUCUCAUCUCUCAAAAAAAAUAAAUAAAUGCAGUUGGG
rnacentral:lncRNA from 1 species